rnacentral:lncRNA from 1 species
CCAAAACAAAUUGCAACCUCAUUAUUGUAUAAUUAGACUCUUGCAAAAUUUCCUCAUCACAAAACUGUAGCAUUUCUCAUCUCUCCAAACCACCUCCCAAAUGAAAUUUGAAACGAAAACAAAACCCCUCAAGCACAAAUGGUUUGGUGGUAGAACCGAUUGGCGGAAUUCUUGACAAGCCCUGUAAAUAGACCAAACUGAACGAAGUCAAUUAUAAUUGUAGAACUAAAACAUUCUUCUUGGAAAAUAAGGGAUGCAAUUUAAGUUAAUUAAGAUAUUAACCCCCAAUGAAAAGGAAUAGAAAGAAUUAGGAGGAGAGAGUUCUUUUACCUUCUUAGAGUAACCAGUGUAUUCUAACAAAAGGGAAUGUAAGGAUGCCGGAAUUAGUUUUGCUUGUCUCUCACCC